rnacentral:tRNA from 2 species
UGCCGGGUCGUCUAAUGGUAGGACAGCAGCCUUUGGAGCUGUUUAUCGGGGUUCGAAUCCCUGCCCGGCAGCCC